rnacentral:lncRNA from 1 species
GCGCAUUGAACUCGAAAGGGCGUACAACUAUUUGGUUCUUAGCACCUGGGAGCUUCAGUUUCAAUUAAUUAUAAUCCGCACUCCGUGGUCGAAAAAAUUUGGUGUUCCAGUCAUUGCGAUGUCACAGAUCGAAAUAUCUUCGAAAGAAGAUCAAAGCGUCGCCAGUGUUUAAAAGUAUCCUUACCAUUCAUUACCUUCAGUUGAUAAUUGUUCAAACUCGAACAAUAUUUGUUUCGAGAUAUUGCUCAAGCAACACUUUCAUUCUGCAUUCUGCACUGACAAAGGCCAUAGGAGACAUCCUUUACUGACGAUAUGUUUUCGUCUCGAAAUUUUCAGUGAUCAGGCUCUUGUCAAACAUGAAAUUGUAACUUGUCUAGUUUUGGUAAACGUGGAAUACCGCUCAAUAAGGGAUAAGAGCUAUGAAGCCAUUGGAAAGCAGAAACAUGAUAUUAAGCGUAUGUCAACGGUCAUCAUAUCGAUUUUGUAACACUGUACGAGUUCAUGGUGUAGAAAUUUCACAGUUUUCAAUCUCGAUUUCAAUCUACAAGCUUUCAACUGAUCACCGUUAAUUGAUGAUGAGCUAUCGGGUUAGAGAAACAAAUAGCCUUUUUCAAAUUCAUCCACAUUAUUAUUCAUCCAGUUUCCGCAGUAUAAAUAGAAGUGAGAAUUGGAAUUCUGUCCAAAACCGGAAUACAUAAGCCCAGAUAAUCAAGAAAAAUUUAGUCAUUCUCGGACAUCUUCAAUACGUCUUGAAGAUGUCUUAUGCGCCGAUCUAGUUCAAAACAACUUCAGGACGCUGAUAUCUAAAUAAAAAUGAGGUCGUAUAUACGCGCAUGCUGUGGUAAUAUCAAGGAACAUGGCUUCCAAAAACGAGACAGGAGCUGGAUGUUAUCCUCAAUUCCGACUAAUGUCAGCAAACGAUAUGCUGCAUCCUAGUAACAAUGAUAGUUGUCAAAGUUUUUUCUCUCUUUGACACAUUCCGUUUAUUAGUUGGAAUUUAUACCACCAGUAGAUAGAUUACUCAAUGGUCAGAGCAAAACUGAUGCUAAUGACUCACCCAUCUAUAAGUUACUGCCGUACACGUAGCGCAGACU